CUCUUUCCUUGCAUCAAGAUCAUCACCAUCGUCAUUAUCUUCUUCUUUGUCUUCUAGUGUGUUGUCAAGCUGUGAUGAUUCUUGUUUUUCUCUCUGAGUUGUCAUUUGGACAUGGAGCUUAUGGGUUUGUAACUUGGCUCUUGAUGGCAUUAUUUGCAAUGGGCACCUCCCUCUUUGCCUGAUUUUUUGAUAGAUCUGAGCCUUUUUUUUUCCAUUUUUGUUUAUAUAAUUUUAGCUUGAACAACACCGGAUAUUUUAGAUCUGAGCCUUGCAACGGGCUCCUCCCAUGUGUAUAUUGAUUCUCACCAACACCGGAUACAAGUAAAACCACCAUCUAUGGCUGCUGGAAUUGGCGUCGCAGCCGGUUCCCAGAAAGUCUGUUUCCAGGUCAACUCAUUUCUAACCCGAAAACCCACCUCCUUAGUUGCAGAUAGUCUGACGUUUUCCCCUUUAGCCUAGCGAUUCAGCACAACUCGGAGAUGUCGAAGGAAGCCCAGGUUGAGGGUUUGUUUUGUGCUGGAGGAUGAGGAAUUGAAAGCCCAGUUGGUGAGAAGUGAGGAGGAAGCCCAAGAGCGCGAGAAAGUGAUGGCGAAGCGAAUCUCUGAUGUAAGAACGGCGGAGAAACUAGCCACGAAGAGAUCAGCAUCUUUUUUUGCUACAACUUGCGAGGAAUGAAGAAAUAGGUUUGCCAUAUUUUUUUGGGACAUUUUUAUCCCUUCACAAAUAUUCCUCCACUCUACAUAGCCAUGUAACCGGAUGAUUCACUGGUAAAAUUCGAUAAAAUGACUCCGCUGGCGUGCUUAUGCGAGUUUAGUGACCUUUUUGGUCAUAAAAAAAGUUUGAUAAUCAAAGGAUACCAUUUUAAAUAGUUGAGUGACUAUUUCGGCCAUUCACUCAUUUAGGAAUUUUUGGUUGGGGCUAGUUUACCAAUUGGGUUUUCCUCAACGUUGUUUGCGUUAAUUCCUAAGGUGAUUAAUCCCGCUGGUUUUACUGAUUUUUUUCUAAUAAGUUUAUGUAAUUUUAUUGCCAAAAUUAUUUCUAAACUACUGGCUUCCCAGCUGGCUCCUGUUUUUGGAAAAAUCAUCUCCCCUCAAUAGAGUGCAUUCAUCAAGGGUCGGUUGAUUUCAGAUAAUAUUUUGCUGGCACAGGAGAUGUUUUCAUCAAUCUCCAAAAAAGUUCAAGAUGGUAAUGUGGCCCUAAAGCUUGACAUGGCAAAAGCUUAUGACCAGGUGUCUUGCAUGUUUCUUUUACAGGCCAUGUGGUUUCUUCGCAUCCUCUCGAGAGCUAAGGCAAGGGGAUCUGUUGUCUCCAGCAUUAUUCAUCAUUUCUACUGAGGUGUUAUCAAAGGGUCUGAAUGCAUUGCAACUUAACAAGUCUUUCACCUCAUAUUUCGUGGCUCAACAUUGUCCUCUUGUGACUCAUUUAGCAUAUGCAAAUUACAUUAUUAUAUUCAAGAAGGGCAGUCAACGAGUGUUUGGGUCAAUUAGUUAAUGUUUCAAAGAGUUGUUUUUUGGUUUCACCAAGGGCUCCCGCAACUCGAAAGAGCUUAAUACAUAAGUUGACGGGUUUUCCUUCUAGGCAGUUCUUGGUUAGAUAUUUGGGGUGCCCAAUGUUUGUGGGCCGGAAGAGGAAAACAUAUUUCACACAUAUUAUUGAUGCAGUGGUGGCACGUAUACAACAAUGGAGUGCAAGGUGGUUGUCAAUUGGAGCUCGUGUGAUUUUGAUUAAAUCGGUCUUGUCAGCGAUGCCGGUGUAUUUGCUAUCCGUGUAGCUCCUCCCAAAGGUGUGAUCUACCAGAUUCAGCAAAUUUUUGCGAACUUCCUUUGGGGUGAUUCACAGUUUGGUCGUCGAUUUCAUUGGGUAGCUUGGGCGAAGAUGUGUUGUCCAACAGAUGUGGGAGGGCUUGGUACCGCAAGAGAUUUGUCAAAUGUUGGGGGAGGUUUGUCUAGCUACAGGGGAGGAUCCAAACACUCCUUUUUGGGCCUUGUUGAUGUCGGGAGAAUUUGAGAUCUGCUUUAUGAUUCCAAUAUUAGAUGGUUCUCCAUAGGAAUCUUGGAUAUACACAUUUGUUUGGCAGUCGGGAUUGCCGCUUAAGGUUUCAUUUUUUACGUGGAGAUUGUUAAAGCAAAAACUGCCUGUAGAUGAACAUCUCUUCAGGUUUCGGAUUGCUGGUCCGUCUAAGUGUGUUUGUUGCUUGUCUUCGGAGAGCGAGUCAAUCUAUCAGCCGUUUGCCAAAAGUGAGACCUCAAAUGUAGUGUGAGCAUAUUUCCAAGGCCCACUUGGUAUUUUCCGUCCGAACAUGGGAGUACGUGGUAGGUUGUUUUCCUGGGGUUGCUUAAGGCUACCAAUUUGAGGAUGAGGUGGCUAUUGCGGGUAACUCCUUCGGUUCUUUUUUGGUUUAUUUGGCAUUUUCAAAAUAAAGUUUCAAUUUGAUGGAGUGGUUAUUGAUUGGCGACAAUUGGUCUUCUAGAUAACCUCUGAGUUGCUAAUAAUGUUUCGAGCAAAGUUUAACGUAUUUUUCCCGAUGGGUACCCCUUGGUCGAAGGUUGUAAAUUGCUUGCAGGAAGUUCCUUCUGUGUUUAAAGUUUCUCGGGUCUCCUGGAGUUCUCCUUCGGUAGGUUACGUUAAAUUAAAUACAAAUGAAUCAUUGCAGGGUAAUCCGGGAUUGAGCGGUGGAGGCGGCAUUCUUUGGGAUUCCAACGGGGACGUGUUAUUCGCCUUUUCUAAAUUUUAUGGUAAUCUUUCUGCUCUGCAAGUAGAGGCUAGGGCAUUGUGUACUGGUCUGGAGAUUUGUGCUUUAAUGGGUGAGUCUAGAGUUAUGGUGGAGGUGGAUUCUAAGGUUUUAUGGUAUAUAUUGGAUUUUAAAGCAUUGAGUCCUCCAUCGAUUCGUUUGAUUAUACGGAAGAUCCGUUUAUUUGAUUCUCUAAUGCAUUCGGUUACCCAUUGUUUCCGGGGAGGCAAUAUGGUGGCAGAUUCUUUGGCAUCGUUUACUAUAUCAACUGGUUCUUUUGUUUUGUUUCACUUGCAGCACAGCUUACCUAGAUGAUCUAAGGGUUUGGUGCGGUUAGACCAACUUGGCAUUUGUAAUUUUGAAUUAGGAUAUGGUAAGGUUCGGUUCCCCCUCUGUGUGUAA